CGGGGUUUGGCGCAGUUGGUAGCGCGCACGGCUGGGGGUCGUGAGGCCAUCGGUUCAAAUCCGAUAACCCCGACCA
rnacentral:tRNA from 1 species